GAUGAACGCUGGCGGCGUGCCUAAUACAUGCAAGUCGAGCGGACGGACGAGAAGCUUGCUUCUCUGAUGUUAGCGGCGGACGGGUGAGUAACACGUGGAUAACCUACCUAUAAGACUGGGAUAACUUCGGGAAACCGGAGCUAAUACCUGAGAAUAUUUUGAACCGCAUGGUUCAAAAGUGAAAGACGGUCUUGCUGUCACUUAUAGAUGGAUCCGCGCUGCAUUAGCUAGUUGGUAAGGUAACGGCUUACCAAGGCAACGAUGCAUAGCCGACCUGAGAGGGGGAUCGGCCACACUGGAACUGAGACACGGUCCAGACUCCUACGGGAGGCAGCAGUAGGGAAUCUUCCGCAAUGGGCGAAAGCCUGACGGAGCAACGCCGCGUGAGUGAUGAAGGUCUUCGGAUCGUAAAACUCUGUUAUUAGGGAAGAACAUAUGUGUAAGAAACUGUGCACAUCUUGACGGUACCGAAUCAGAAAGCCACGGCUAACUACGUG
rnacentral:rRNA from 1 species